GCAGAUCCCGGCAACUUGCGAGCCGGGAAAAGUUUGCGGCGCCUCCGCGGGGCGGCGCGACGCGGCCCGUACCUCGCGUCCGCGGUCAUCGCGGGUGACUUUCUCGACUCGUCGUCAGCCGGGGCCGCUGCGCGGCCGGCGGGGACUGCGGGGCGGGCCGGAGUCCGUCCGAGGGCUCCCGCACCUCGGGCUGCGGGAACAUUAAAAUCUCCCCAGAUGCUCACUGCUCUGAUCAUUUCCCCUACAGCAUCAGACAUGUUGGCAUCAUCUCUUAGUUGGGCCCUGUGGCCAGGGAACCUUUCAUGAAACCACCUCUGCAGUCCUGGAGAGUUGCUGUAGAAGAAGGAAAAGAGAAGAAGACAACACAACACAGGAGGGGAUAAGUACCUCUGGACACAAUGGAAGUAGUAGUUGUUGAGCAGAGGGAAAGGGAUAGGAGAAGGAUGUGGACUGCAGUGCGGCAGUGCCAGGUAAUAACUUUGAUCAUGUACCUCCUUGGCUCAGGUGCUGUCUCUUCUACUCUCCUCCUUACUCGUACUACCUUAUUUAGCACUUAAUUAUAUACUUUCUUGACUCACUUUGAGACACACUGAUUAUGUGGUCUGCCUCAAAGACAGAAUCCUAGUUUUGGAUUUUAGCAUUACUGAUCUAUAGCCUUGCAGGGGCUUAAGGAUGGCAGCUGUCUCUCUCCCUUGGGAUCUAGCUUUUGCAAAUAUU
rnacentral:lncRNA from 1 species